rnacentral:tRNA from 1 species
GGGGGCAUAGCUCAGGUGUAGAGCGGUCGCUUCGCAUGCGAGAAGUCUCGGUUUCGGCUUCCCAUACCUCCA